GAAUUCAACUCCUACGGGAGGCAGCAGUAGGGAAUCUUCCACAAUGGACGCAAGUCUGAUGGAGCAACGCCGCGUGAGUGAAGAAGGGUUUCGGCUCGUAAAGCUCUGUUGUUGGUGAAGAAGGACAGGGGUAGUAACUGACCUUUGUUUGACGGUAAUCAAUUAGAAAGUCACGGCUAACUACGUGCCAGCAGCCGCGGUAAUACGUAGGUGGCAAGCGUUGUCCGGAUUUAUUGGGCGUAAAGCGAGUGCAGGCGGCUCGAUAAGUCUGAUGUGAAAGCCUUCGGCUCAACCGGAGAAUUGCAUCAGAAACUGUCGAGCUUGAGUACAGAAGAGGAGAGUGGAACUCCAUGUGUAGCGGUGAAAUGCGUAGAUAUAUGGAAGAACACCGGUGGCGAAGGCGGCUCUCUGGUCUGUUACUGACGCUGAGGCUCGAAAGCAUGGGUAGCGAACAGGAUUAGAUACCCGAGUAGUCCAGGCGUU
rnacentral:rRNA from 1 species